rnacentral:rRNA from 1 species
GUAGGGAAUCUUCGNGCAAUGGGGGCAACCCUGACCGAGCAACGCCGCGUGAGUGAAGAAGGUUUUCGGAUCGUAAAGCUCUGUUGUAAGAGAAGAACGAGUGUGAGAGUGGAAAGUUCACACUGUGACGGUAACUUACCAGAAAGGGACGGCUAACUACGUGCCAGCAGCCGCGGUAAUACGUAGGUCCCGAGCGUUAUCCGGAUUUAUUGGGCGUAAAGCGAGCGCAGGCGGUUUGAUAAGUCUGAAGUUAAAGGCUGUGGCUCAACCAUAGUUCGCUUUGGAAACUGUCAAACUUGAGUGCAGAAGGGGAGAGUAGAAUUCCAUGUGUAGCGGUGAAAUGCGUAGAUAUAUGGAGGAACACCGGUGGCGAAAGCGGCUCUCUGGUCUGUAACUGACGCUGAGGCUCGAAAGCGUGGGGAGCGAACAGGAUUAGAUACCCUGGUAGUCCACGCCGUAAACGAUGAGUGCUAGGUGUUGGAUCCUUUCCGGGAUUCAGUGCCGCAGCUAACGUAUUAAGCACUCCGCCUGGGGAGUACGACCGCAAGGUUG